rnacentral:rRNA from 1 species
ACGAACGCUGGCGGCGUGCUUAACACAUGCAAGUCGAACGGUGAAGGGACUGGUUUUGCUGGUCCUGGAUGAGUGGCGAACGGGUGAGUAACACGUGAGUAACCUGCCCCCUUCUUCUGGAUAACCGCAUGAAAGUGUGGCUAAUACGGGAUAUUCUGGGUCUGUCGCAUGGUGGGCCUGGGAAAGAUUGCGCCUUUUUUGGUGUUUUUGGUGGGGGAUGGGCUCGCGGCCUAUCAGCUUGUUGGUGGGGUGAUGGCCUACCAAGGCGGUGACGGGUAGCCGGCCUGAGAGGGUGGACGGUCACACUGGGACUGAGACACGGCCCAGACUCCUACGGGAGGCAGCAGUGGGGAAUAUUGCACAAUGGGCGCAAGCCUGAUGCAGCGACGCCGCGUGAGGGAUGGAGGCCUUCGGGUUGUGAACCUCUUUCGCCAGUGAAGCAGGCCUGCCUCUUUUUGUGGGUGGGUUGACGGUAGCUGGAUAAGAAGCGCCGGCUAACUACGUG